CAGUGGUUCCCAAACUGCAGGUUUGGAACCCCUGAGGGUUCGGGAAAUGUUACAGGGGAUUCUCGGGGGAAAAAAAUCCCUAAUGGCAGACAGAGUUGUCCAUAGGGACCCCAUAGACCACAGGGCCAGCAGCCC